rnacentral:rRNA from 1 species
GAGACAGCAGUAGCCGCGGGAAUACGUAGGUGGCAAGCGUUGUCCGGAAUUAUUGGGCGUAAAGGGCUCGCAGGCGGUUUCUUAAGUCUGAUGUGAAAGCCCCCGGCUCAACCGGGGAGGGUCAUUGGAAACUGGGAAACUUGAGUGCAGAAGAGGAGAGUGGAAUUCCACGUGUAGCGGUGAAAUGCGUAGAGAUGUGGAGGAACACCAGUGGCGAAGGCGACUCUCUGGUCUGUAACUGAUGCUGAGGAGCGAAAGCGUGGGGAGCGAACAGGAUUAGAUACCCGGGUAGUCCCUGUCUCUUAUAC